UACGGAGGAUGCGAGCGUUAUCCGGAUUUAUUGGGUUUAAAGGGUGCGUAGGCGGUUUUUUAAGUUAGUGGUUAAACGUCGGGGCUUCACCUUGAUUUGCCAUUAAUACUGUAAGACUCGAGUUCAGACGAGGUAGGCGGAAUAAGUUAAGUAGCGGUGAAAUGCAUAGAUAUCACGCAGAACCCCGAUUGCGAAGGCAGCCUUCCGGCGCCCUACUGACGCUGAGGCACGAAAGUGCGGGGAUCGAACAGG
rnacentral:rRNA from 1 species